CGAAUGCUGACAUAAGUAACGAUAAAGCGGGUGAAAAGCCCGCUCGCCGGAAGACCAAGGGUUCCUGUCCAACGUUAAUCGGGGCAGGGUGAGUCGACCCCUAAGGCGAGGCCGAAAGGCGUAGUCGAUGGGAAACAGGUUAAUAUUCCUGUACUUGGUGUUACUGCGAAGGGGGGACGGAGAAGGCUAUGUUGGCCGGGCGACGGUUGUCCCGGUUUAAGCGUGUAGGCUGGUUUUCCAGGCAAAUCCGGAAAAUCAAGGCUGAGGCGUGAUGACGAGGCACUACGGUGCUGAAGCAACAAAUGCCCUGCUUCCAGGAAAAGCCUCUAAGCAUCAGGUAACAUCAAAUCGUACCCCAAACCGACACAGGUGGUCAGGUAGAGAAUACCAAGGCGCUUGAGAGAACUCGGGUGAAGGAACUAGGCAAAAUGGUGCCGUAACUUCGGGAGAAGGCACGCUGAUAUGUAGGUGAAGCGACUUGCUCGUGGAGCUGAAAUCAGUCGAAGAUACCAGCUGGCUGCAACUGUUUAUUAAAAACACAGCACUGUGCAAACACGAAAGUGGACGUAUACGGUGUGACGCCUGCCCGGUGCCGGAAGGUUAAUUGAUGGGGUCAGCGCAAGCGAAGCUCUUGAUCGAAGCCCCGGUAAACGGCGGCCGUAACUAUAACGGUCCUAAGGUAGCGAAAUUCCUUGUCGGGUAAGUUCCGACCUGCACGAAUGGCGUAAUGAUGGCCAGGCUGUCUCCACCCGAGACUCAGUGAAAUUGAACUCGCUGUGAAGAUGCAGUGUACCCGCGGCAAGACGGAAAGACCCCGUGAACCUUUACUAUAGCUUGACACUGAACAUUGAGCCUUGAUGUGUAGGAUAGGUGGGAGGCUUGGAAGUGUGGACGCCAGUCUGCAUGGAGCCGACCUUGAAAUACCACCCUUUAAUGUUUGAUGUUCUAACGUGGACCCGUAAUCCGGGUUGCGGACAGUGUCUGGUGGGUAGUUUGACUGGGGCGGUCUCCUCCUAAAGAGUAACGGAGGAGCACGAAGGUUGGCUAAUCCUGGUCGGACAUCAGGAGGUUAGUGCAAUGGCAUAAGCCAGCUUGACUGCGAGCGUGACGGCGCGAGCAGGUGCGAAAGCAGGUCAUAGUGAUCCGGUGGUUCUGAAUGGAAGGGCCAUCGCUCAACGGAUAAAAGGUACUCCGGGGAUAACAGGCUGAUACCGCCCAAGAGUUCAUAUCGACGGCGGUGUUUGGCACCUCGAUGUCGGCUCAUCACAUCCUGGGGCUGAAGUAGGUCCCAAGGGUAUGGCUGUUCGCCAUUUAAAGUGGUACGCGAGCUGGGUUUAGAACGUCGUGAGACAGUUCGGUCCCUAUCUGCCGUGGGCGCUGGAGAACUGAGGGGGGCUGCUCCUAGUACGAGAGGACCGGAGUGGACGCAUCACUGGUGUUCGGGUUGUCAUGCCAAUGGCACUGCCCGGUAGCUAAAUGCGGAAGAGAUAAGUGCUGAAAGCAUCUAAGCACGAAACUUGCCCCGAGAUGAGUUCUCCCUGACUCCUUGAGAGUCCUGAAGGAACGUUGAAGACGACGACGUUGAUAGGCCGGGUGUGUAAGCGCAGCGAUGCGUUGAGCUAACCGGUACUAAUGAACCGUGAGG
rnacentral:rRNA from 1 species